UACGUAGGGUCCGAGCGUUGUCCGGAAUUAUUGGGCGUAAAGCGUCUGUAGGUGGCUUUUCAAGUCCGCCGUCAAAUCCCAGGGCUCAACCCUGGACAGGCGGUGGAAACUACCAAGCUGGAGUACGGUAGGGGCAGAGGGAACUCCCGGUGUAGCGGUGAAAUGCGUAGAGAUCGGGAGGAACACCGAUGGCGAAAGCGCUCUGCUGGGCCGAAACUGACACUGAGAGACGAAAGCUAGGGAGACGAAUGGGAUUAGGA
rnacentral:rRNA from 1 species